rnacentral:rRNA from 1 species
UACGGAGGGUGCAAGCGUUUAUCCGGAUUUACUGGGUUUAAAGGGUGCGUAGGUGGGUUUGUAAGUCAGUGGUGAAAUCUCCGAGCUUAACUCGGAAACUGCCAUUGAUACUAUAGAUCUUGAAUUAUCUGGAGGUGAGCGGAAUAUGUCAUGUAGCGGUGAAAUGCUUAGAUAUGACAUAGAACACCAAUUUGCGAAGGCAGCUCACUACGGAUUGACUGACACUGAGGCACGAAAGCGUGGGGAUCAAACAGG